CUCCAUAUCAGCUGGAAGGCAGGAGAGCAGGGAGGAAACCGAUGGAGGGUCUCCCAAGUGCCAGGCUCUGUCUCGUUAAGUCCCGUGGGCUGGGGGAUCUGAUCUCCCUCCAGGACUGGUCCCCCUGCAGCACCCCUGUCAGGCUCUGGAGUCAGAAGAGCCCACGUCCAGUCUCUGCUCUGCCUUUUACUGGUCAUGUGUCUUUGAGUGGAUCUUUCCCUGUUCCCUGAGUUUCCUUUUCCUCAACAAUAAAAUGAGGGCUCCUGCUUCAGGGCGGACUUAAGGAUUAAAGGACCUCCAAGAACUAGCCCUGGCACAUAGUAGGUGCACAGUAAAUGGCAGCCAUAGAUUUCUAAAAAGGGAUUUUCUGAGCUUCUGGGAGAGCAAUUCUUGGGCAGUCCCCGUGCUGUAGGCGGCUCUUCAGGCACACAACUGGCUCUGUCCCAUUAGCAGACAAAUGAGCUCUUUGUUCCCCUGCCUCUAGGCAAACAGAACCCCUCCCUUGUCCCCAUGUCCCCUCCCAGAUACUCCCUUGUUUCUUUGCUCUCCAUUCCCACAAGAAUCUGAAAGAGUUUUCUGUGGUCCCUGCUUCCACUUCUUUCCUCUCAUCCCUUUCCUAAGACACUCUUAUAGGCUCUUCUCUCGCCCUUCCUCCCGCCCCCUUAGAGCUUCUCUGACCCUGGACCUGCAGGCGCCCCUCUUCCUGGAGGUCCUCCCAGACCUGGUGCUCCUCCCACCUCAGGGCUCCUUCUCUGGCUCCCUUGCAGGCUCCUCCUUCCCAGCCGACCUCUUUUGCUCUCUCCUUGGAUGAUGUCUGUUCUAUUACUAUGACUGUGUGACAAACCAUCCCAAAACUUAGUGGCUUAAAACAAGAACUGUUUUACUUUAUUUUGAGAUUUUUGUGGGUCAGGGAUUUGGGCAGGGCUUGGCUGGUUGACCCUUCUGCUCUAUGUGGUGUUGAUGGAGGUUACUUGGUGGUGUUCAGCCAGUGGAUGGGCUGGACUAUGGAGUCCACCAUGGCUUCACUGGUAUUUGGCCCCUUGGUGGGAAUGGCUGGAAGGUUGGUUCUAGCUGGGACUGUCAUUCUGAGCAGCCACAUGGGGCCUUUUCCAUAUGAAGGAAGGUCUCAGUGGGAAGUCAGACUUCCCACCUGGCAGUGGGCUCCAGCAGAGCAAGAGCUCCAAGAGGCCUGGGUGGAAGCUACCAGGCUUCUCAUGAUCUGGUCUCAGAAGUCCCCAGCAGAGUGAUCUUAAAAUGCAGGUCAGCUCACUCUCUCCCCACUCAUAGACUUCAGUUUUUCCCAUCACACCUCGAGUAAAAUCCAAACUCCACUGAGACCUUAGGACUUGGGUGACAUAGGACUCUUCCCAGUCUCUUCCCUUCUCCCUGACACUGCCCUGGCUACUCUGGCCACCAUGCUCUUCCUCUGGCAGCCAAGCUUCUUCCCGUUCCUCCUUGCACUCUUUGCACCCUCUGCUCCCCUGCCUGGGACCCUGUGCCCCCAGAACCUUGCCCAAUCUCUCCUGCUUUUCAUUCAUUCAGAUCUUGGCCACAAGUCUCCUUGAUUACUCAACCUAAAUUAGUUCCUUCAGGUCCACCACCUUCUCUCUCUAUCACAUAUGGUGUUUUUCUUCUUUCUAAAAUUUUUUUAAAAAUUGAAGUAUAGUUAAUUUACAAUGUUGGGUUACUUUCAAGUGUACAGCAAAGUGAUUGUUAUACAUAUAUAUAUAUUCUUUUUCAGAUUCUUUUCCAUUAUAAGUUAUUAUAAGAUAUUGAAUUUAGUUCCCUGUGCUAUACAGUAGGACCUUGUUGUUUACUUUAUAUAUAGUAGUGUGUAUAUGUUAAUCCCAAACUCCUAGUUUAUCCCCACCCCUUCCCCCAUCCCUGUUGGUAACCAUAGGUUUGUUUUCUAUGUCUGUGAGUCUAUUUCUGUUUUGUAAAUAAGUUCAUUUGUAUCAUUUUUUUUUUAGAUUCUACAUAUAAGUGACAUCAUAUGAUAUCUGUCCUUCUCUGUCU